UCAGGAAGAAGAGCCGGAUUU
rnacentral:piRNA from 1 species